rnacentral:rRNA from 1 species
AUACGGAGGGUGCAAGCGUUACUCGGAAUCACUGGGCGUAAAGCGCGCGCAGGCGGCUAUUUAAGUUGGAUGUGAAAGCCUACGGCUCAACCGUAGAACUGCAUCCAAAACUAUUUAGCUAGAGUGUGGGAGAGGAAGAUGGAAUUAGUUGUGUAGGGGUAAAAUCCGUAGAGAUAACUAGGAAUACCAAAAGCGAAGGCAAUCUUCUGGAACACUACUGACGCUGAGGCGCGAAAGCGUGGGGAGCAAACGGAAUUAGAAACCCUAGUAGUCC